UUCACCAUCUAGGUUCUUCGUGAUGUCCGUUACGGUGAGCUCAAUCAAUGCAAACCCGAAAACCUCCAGUGAAGAAUCGAAAGCUCUGGCAAUAAAAUCCAAUCGAAAGUCUCAUCUCUCCACCGGCAAGUCUCUGUCGCUUUGUAUUUCAAGGAUAUCUCACCAUGUCCACCAGAAUACGAAUUAGGAUUUCGAAUCUAAAGUUAAGGCGAUGAUCAAUUUCUUUUUUUUCUUCAAUGGUGUUGAUAACCCAAUCAAAGGGCGUCGCCUUUUAGUUUUGAUGUUGAUUCAUUUGAUCCAGUCUUACAGGUUCUUACAAUUUUUUGUUUUGUUUCGAUUAGGAUGAAGUGCGGUAGCGAUUGCUGUAAGGUGUGAAGAUAAGAUGGCUCUCUGAAUGAAAACAUGAAGAAGUGUCAGUAUGUCGUAAGUGGUAAGCUCCAGAAAGAAGGCAAAAAGGUAUACACUUUUGGAUCAUCUUGUGCCUUUACAUGUUGGCUUUACUCAAGAAAAAGAGACUGUAAGUAUUGUAUAUAUAAAAUAACUUACGAACUUUGAACGUAUUGAACUUAGAAUAAAUACUUUCGCCUCUUAAGUUUUGAAUAAAUACUGGUUCUGAAAAGGAUUAAGAUUUGUCUAUCAACUGCAUCAGAUUUUGUACCCUUUUUACUUUUCUAAAAGCUAAGCCCAGCUCAGAAGGAUGGAAUCAUCGAGUGGAGGAAGAUGAGUGUCUUUCAGAGAAUCAGUGGGGGUUCGUGGGCUGUUCCAAGUUUCCAAAUAGUAAGCUGUAAGCAUAAACUCUUAAACUGCAAAGCGCUUUGGAUGGGGAAGGCCAGCUUUACGUACCGCUUCUGAUAUCGCCAGGUUCUCUACGUACAAAGGAUUCAGGAGAGAUUGGUAGAAUACCUACUUAGUGGGCUCGGUGUCUUCUACCGCAUGUGAGAGACAAGAAGGUUAGGCUAGAAGGGAGAUGCAAGUCGACGCCUGAAGCAUUAGGCAUUACAUAAUGAUUCUUCUUUCAGUAAGUGUGUACAUUAAUAGUUCCAUGUUUCAAAAGCAUAGUAUGACUUCACUUAGGGUAGCCAGUACUCCGGCGGAUGAAUAAAUGUUUUAUCCUCUCCCACACUCCUUGCGGUUGCUCGGUUUGACACCCUUUAAACAGGUAAUGGAUUGUCCAUUACUGUAACUCUAAGAUUUUCUGAAUGUUUGACAGGUUGCAGUUUGCAAUUCCUAUAUACUUACAUAUUUUGUUGUGAUUGCAAAUUUUUGAGAUGGUGAAUUAGAAUUAUUACAGUUCAAAAGGAUCCACUUAUUUAACAAGAAACAUGAGAAGGUCGGCCAUAGUCCGUAGAAUAAAAGAUAAGUUACAAAAUACAUUUGACUUAUAAGAAUAGAGAAACAUGACAUGUCAUGUAAUUCAACUGACGUACUCUUUAGACCUGAAUAUGUUCAAUAAAUAUUACAAGGAUGUUGUAUAGCUUGGGAGGAAGAGGAGAGAAACAUGAUGUCUUCUGCUGGCUAAGAUUAUGAACAUUGAUAAUCUUUAUUAGAUGCUUAUUUCUUGGAAAAUGUUUUAAAAGAUGUUUUAAUAUAGGUAAAUACUUAUUGCUGGAUCAUGUUUAGAAGUAUAUAUAAGUCUUCCGAGAGAAAAUUACAUUUACAAUUUCACUGUUGUUUUACUGUCAUGAGAUAACUUUUAUGACAAUUGUAUGCAUAUAAUUAAAAUCGCACAACUUCUUUAUGUUUUCCAAUCCUUGAAUAACAAACAAAACAUUAAGAUAAAACAUAUUUGCAAGAAAAAAAUCAAGAUACAAUAUUGUUUCUUCUUAUGGUUCGUUCCGUAGAUAUCUCUUGCUGUGGUUUUAGCCAUGUUUGUGUCUUUAUUUUCUUCAGAUCAUUUUUUUUGUUGGAUCCAGAAUCAAGGUAGUUUUUCAAUGUGUUUAAAUUAUAAACAAGAGAGAUGUGAAGUAUUUUAAAAUUGUGUACACCUGGAAAUAUAAUAAAAGAUAGGAAUACCAUGAUCAAGAAGCUAAUGAGAAAUGUUUCGAACAAAUAAGUGGAGCAUUAAGCCCAAAAAAAGUGGAACGACAAAGGUUAAGCUUAGUUUGACAAUUAAUCAAUAAAGAGUAAAGAUUGAGAGAUGAAUUAUCUAUUGAAAAACACAAACAAAUAAACUAAAAUAAAAAAAAACAAUAGCUAAAUAAAAUAUAAAACGUAAAGAAACCCCACCACUUGAUAUAUGAACUAAACGAGCUAAAAGAAGCAAUGCAAUUUUUUUUUGGCCCACCACUUGAUAUUCUGGACACAUCAGCUAUACUGUUAAAGAAAUCAUGAUCUUUUUUUUUUUGUGCACAAAUACUUCAUGAAUUAAACUUAAGUUGGGUUUCUUACAGGGUCUCUGAAAGCCUGUUUAGCCAAAUUAUCCUCAACACAGAGAUAAUAAUUAUGAUUGUUCAUCAACUUUACCAAGCUAGAAAAUCACAUUGAAAUACUACCGAAGCAUGACCUCUGAAAUAAUAGUUGUACUAUAGCAAGUCGUGCAAGUGCUUCAGUCUCUAAUGCAAAAGAUGCCAUCCUCAAACACGAACUGCUCCAAAUGAUUCACCAUUCAUAUUACAAACCAUCAAUCCAGAUUUGACCGUACCCUCCACAAAUUUCUUAUAAAAUUUUAAAAGUAUUACAAUACAUCUAACUGUUAAGUACCCCGCGCUUGCACGAAGCUCCGCCUCUAAAAUAUCUAAAGAUAUAUCUUUUCAUUAAUUUUAUUUAUCAUGCAUUUCAAUAGUCCAAAUAAAUAUCUAAAUAUUUACCUUUUCAUAUAUAUCUUUUUUGAUCUAUGAAUGUGUCUUUUUCUUAUUUGUUCAAUUUUUAUAUAUUAUCAUUUUAUAUACUAUAAUUUUUAAGCAAUCUAGAAAAUAGCCUCUACUACUUAAUCAACCAGCUUUCACAAAUUAAUUUUAAUGAAAAUGCAAUAUGUAUUACCGAAAUAACUCAAAUCUACGUUUUAGAAUAUAACGUAUCCUUUAUCAUUUAUAAAGAUUCAUUGCAAACUAUAACUAUGUUUUUUUCCAAAUCUAAGCAUUCUAAUGACACAUUGGAGAUGGUCUAAGGUAUUGCCGACGUAAAUGAUCCAUGUUGAGAUUUCAGCAUUUCUGAUUCUUACUAUUCUAAUGUUUCAAUAUAUUUUGAAUAUUCCCUUUGUUUUAUAAUAUAAUAGUUUAAAAGUAUUUUUUGUUUCACAAUAUAAAUUGUUUUUAUAUUUCAAUGUAACUUUAUAUUUAUUGAAUAUUGUAUGGCCAAUUAAAUUAUGUAAAUUACUGUGUAAUUGAUUAAAUUUAUAUAUUAAAUGAUCUUUCUAAAGUAAUAACUUUUAAAUAUUACAGAUUUUAAUUAAAAUUGAUUAUAUUUUGAAACAGAUAGAGUAAUCUAUAAACUAACUUUAUAUAGAUAUGAGGACAAAAUUGUAAAGUGAUCUCACCUUAAAUUUAUUUCAUUAUGUGCAUUCCUAAUUGGAAUGAGAUAAUCAACAUCUAAUAUUAUGUUACUCUUAGUAUAUUAGAAAUGGUCGAACCGUAAACCAUUUAAGGAUUUUAUAAGGAAGACAUAAAGAUGUAUUUCCAGUUAUCACAAAUAUAGAAUAAAUUGACAACAACUUAAUUAUGUCCAGCGUAGGAAACAAAGAAGAGUUUUAAUACUUUCUAAUAUUAUAAUAUAUCACUAUAUUAGUUGUUAAAUCAGUUUUUUCUAGCACAAAUACUCACUCCAUUCUUGGAGUUUAAGUUUUUCUAUCUGAUGAUAUUAGUAGUUUGAUCCCAAAAAAAAAACGUUCGAUGUGUACAUUGUAAUUGGAGAAAGAAAAACAAACAAAAAUCAACCGAAAACUUUUAAGGUAUAUGAAACAAAAAUUAAAAAUAUCAAUUCUCUGCAAUUAAAGAAUAAGACAAUACAAUUGUAAGAAUACAAAAUAAAACAAAAAAUAUACACAAAAAGAAAGAUUUAGUAAAAUAAAAUCAUAAUAUAAUUUCCAUAAUUGAUAGUGCUCAGUUACACUAAAAAAUCUAAAUUUACAACAUACACAGUUUUAUU